UGGGGAAUAUUGGGCAAUGGGCGCAAGCCUGACCCAGCCACGCCGCGUGAGUGAUGAAGGCCUUCGGGUCGUAAAGCUCUGUGGGGAAGGACGAAAAAACAUUGGCUAAUAUCCAAUGGCUUGACGGUACUUCCUUAGCAAGCACCGGCUAACUCUGUGCCAGCAGCCGCGGUAAUACAGAGGGUGCAAACGUUGCUCGGAAUCAUUGGGCGUAAAGCGCACGUAGGCGGCCUGAUAAGUCGGUAGUGAAAGCCCUCGGCUUAACCUAGGAAGUGCUAUCGAAACUGCCAGGCUUGAGUACCGGAGAGGAUCGCGGAAUUCCCGGUGUAGAGGUGAAAUUCGUAGAUAUCGGGAGGAACACCUGUGGCGAAGGCGGCCACCUGGUUGGAUACUGACGCUGAGACGCGAAAGCGUGGGGAGCAAACAGGAUUAGAUACCCAAGUAGUCCCUGAGCGGGCUGGCAAGGCGCAU
rnacentral:rRNA from 1 species